CUUCUUCUCAAUCUCCGCUCAAAUCUUCUUCUCGAAAUUUCUUAGUUGAUGCUGUAGAUUGGAAUUUUGGGUUGAGAAAACCUGAAACUGAAAUUUUGGGUUGAGGAGAAGUAGGAUUUUCCUUGCUAUUUUCUCAGUUGUUAUUGAUGUUGUUUUGCUAGCAGACAAACAAGGAUUUCUUCCUAAGUUAUUAUAAUCUCUUCAGAUUUCAAGAUACUCUUUCAAUUCUCUUCAUCUCCGCAGUUGAAUGAAUUUCAAACAAAUCAUAAAGGAGUUGCAGGGAGCUAUAAUGAUUUCUUCAGCUUUCCAAACAAUUCUUGGAUACAGUGGGCUGGUGCCAGUAUUACUUUGGUUAAAUGGGAUGGAAUAGGACAUGAGCUUACUCUCUCAUCAGUAUUUGUAGUGUUGUCUGUUUAUCAGCAUACAAGAUUUAUGAAUACAUACUUUUUUGUGGAAGUGAUAUCAAGUGGUUGGGCUCCUGCUAGAGAGCAUCACAGCAAAGGCAGUCGCUUUCUUGAAUAAAUGUUAUGAAAGCACCAUUUCUCAAGGCAAUAUGGUAAUGCCAUUAUCUAUGAGCAGCAAUAUCUAUAGAUGCAUACCAAUUUUUUAAAUGUUUCUCCCACAAAAUAUUCAGUUGAGCAUCUUUCGAAGAACUGCGGUCAGCCAUACUGCAAAUGCAGUUGGUAGAACCCGUUCGACGAUGCAUUUCAAAGUAACUCGGAGAAAAAAUCAUGUCUGAUGGUUCUAAGAAUCGACUGAACAAUGUUAACAAAGAAUAAGAUUAACAUUUAUACUUAUAUCAUCACUUUUUUCAUUUCAACUUUUUUAUAUUUUGUUCUUUUAAUUAGAUUUUACAGUUGUGUUUGUUUCUUUAAGGGUAUUUUCAUGAAUUUAAGGUUGUACAAUAGAGAUCAAUGGUAACUUGGAGCAGGUUUAUCUCUAUUGAAUGAAUUUUAUGAUUAUUCA